rnacentral:rRNA from 1 species
AGCGAACGCUGGCGGCAGGCUUAACACAUGCAAGUCGAACGGGCACUUCGGUGCUAGUGGCAGACGGGUGAGUAACGCGUGGGAACGUGCCUUUCGGUUCGGAAUAAUCCAGGGAAACUUGGACUAAUACCGGAUACGCCCUUCGGGGGAAAGAUUUAUCGCCGAAAGAUCGGCCCGCGUCUGAUUAGCUAGUUGGUGAGGUAAAGGCUCACCAAGGCGACGAUCAGUAGCUGGUCUGAGAGGAUGAUCAGCCACAUUGGGACUGAGACACGGCCCAAACUCCUACGGGAGGCGGCAGUGGGGAAUAUUGGACAAUGGGCGCAAGCCUGAUCCAGCCAUGCCGCGUGAGUGAUGAAGGCCUUAGGGUUGUAAAGCUCUUUUGUCCGGGAAGAUAAUGACUGUACCGGAAGAAUAAGCCCCGGCUAACUUCGUGCCAGCAGCCGCCGUAAUAC